ACCAGGUGCAGUGGCACGUACCUGUAGUCCCAGCAACUCGGGAGGCUGAGGCUGGAGGCUCACUUGAGCCCAGGAGUUCUGGGCUGUAGUGUGCAAUGCUGAUCGGAUGUCCGCACUAAGUUCGGCAUCAAUACAGUGACCUCCUGGGAUUGGGGGACCACCAGGUUGCCUAAGGAGGGGUGAACUGGCCCAGGUCAGAAACGGAGCAGGUCAAACUCCAGUGCUAAUCAGUCAUGGGAUCACACCUGUGAAUAGCCAUGGCACUCCAGCCUGGGCAAUAUAGUGAGAUCCCGUCUCUU
ensembl:misc_RNA Metazoa_SRP Metazoan signal recognition particle RNA